rnacentral:rRNA from 1 species
GACGAACGCUGGCGGCGUGCUUAACACAUGCAAGUCGAACGAAGUGGCGAACGGGUGAGUAACGCGUAAUCAACCUGCCCUUCUGAGGGGGACAACAGUUGGAAACGACUGCUAAUACCGAAUACUGAAGGCGGGGAUUGCGUCUGAUUAGCUAGUUGGGGGGGUAACGGCCACCCAAGGCGAUGAUCAGUAGCCGGGCUGAGGGGAUGAACGGCCACAUUGGGAAUGGGAAAAGGCCCAGACUCCUACGGGAGGCAGCAGGGGGGAAUCGUCCGCAAUGGACGAAAGUCUGACGGAGCAACGCCGCGUGAGUGAUGGAGGCCUUCGGGUUGGAAAGCUCUGUUAAGCGGGACGCGGUACCGGAAUAGAAAGCCACGGCUAACUACGUGCCAGCAGCCGCGGUAAUAC